CUGAAAUAUUCUUGCUGCUCUGAUUUUAUAAUAAUAAUAGCAGGCUAAACAUUUGCUAUAGUAAGACUAUGCACACACCCCAAGAAUUAAUUCUUUACCUACUUAGAUCGGGUCUUAGAAAUAAUGGUAAUAAAU